rnacentral:rRNA from 1 species
UACGAAGGGGGCUAGCGUUGCUCGGAAUUACUGGGCGUAAAGGGCGCGUAGGCGGCACUGUUAGUCAGGCGUGAAAGUCCUGGGCUCAACCUGGGAACUGCGCUUGAUACGGCAGAGCUAGAGGAUGGAAGAGGCUCGCGGAAUUCCCAGUGUAGAGGUGAAAUUCGUAGAUAUUGGGAAGAACACCGGUGGCGAAGGCGGCGAGCUGGUCCAUUACUGACGCUGAGGCGCGAAAGCCAGGGGAGCAAACGGG